rnacentral:rRNA from 1 species
AAUGAACGCUGGCGGCAUGCCUUACACAUGCAAGUCGAACGGCAGCACGGGAGCAAUCCUGGUGGCGAGUGGCGAACGGGUGAGUAAUAUAUCGGAACGUGCCCAGUCGUGGGGGAUAACGUAGCGAAAGCUACGCUAAUACCGCAUACGAUCUAUGGAUGAAAGCGGGGGAUCGCAAGACCUCGCGCGAUUGGAGCGGCCGAUAUCAGAUUAGGUAGUUGGUGAGGUAAAGGCUCACCAAGCCGACGAUCUGUAGCUGGUCUGAGAGGACGACCAGCCACACUGGGACUGAGACACGGCCCAGACUCCUACGGGAGGCAGCAGUGGGGAAUUUUGGACAAUGGGCGAAGCCUGAUCCAGCAAUGCCGCGUGAGUGAUGAAGGCCUUC